UAUAUACUAUUGGCAGCAUAGGAACCCAGUGAAUGUCAUCUUGCUGAUGGCUGGGGGCUAACCAAGAGAGGUAAAGGUGUGGGAUACUGCAUCUAAACCAAGACCAAGUUAGAGAUAACUCGGUAUCCGGGAAUAAACCACCGCUUUGGUUAGAAGCGCGACACGCUAUCCGAUGUAAACGAGUAUUAGGUCAGGCACGACAAGAGGCUCUGCAGAAAUGCAUCCCACGUGAUGAUACUAGCGUGAGAAACUAGUAUCUGCGUUCUCAAAAGAAGUGCUCGCGUUGACGGAAGGUAACUUCCUAUAACUGACUUGAUAUGUACCUGUAGGGGUAUCCGCGACAUAUAAGAUCACUCCUUUUAUGUAGCUGAAGCUCCCUGAAAGUUGAGAGGUAAUUCCAAUCCUCUCCGUUGCUACGGUUAGGAAACUAACCCAUUCUGGAAGUAUAAGGGUCGCUCCCUUAUGCUCAGCCCAGCGUGAACGUGCGUGAAUAACAAAUCAUAGUAAGUGUCGUAUGGCGAAGGCUGCCUAUGCUCUUUUUUAUUAU
rnacentral:ncRNA from 1 species